rnacentral:lncRNA from 1 species
UCCUUCGACGGUGCAAGGACCGAGGCUAGCCGCACGGGCUCCUCGAUCAGCAUCUGACCUCCCGGCAUCGCUGAGAAAAAUUAGGGUUCCGUUAGGGUUUUGAUCAGCUUCUCGAUUCAACAGAGUAGAGAGGGGUUUCAGAGGAAAGAAACGAGGGAAAGGAGCGCCGCUACUCUUUAUAGCUUUCUUCGGGGAAUGGAAUAUUUAGCUAGUCACCUGGAAAAGUACUUAAAGCCCAAAC